rnacentral:rRNA from 1 species
UACGAAGGGGGCAAGCGUUGUUCGGAAUUAUUGGGCGUAAAGGGAGCGUAGGCGGUUCGGCAAGUCUCUAGUGAAAUCUCUGGGCUCAACCCAGAGUCUGCUGGGGAAACUGCCGGGCUUGAGUAUGGGAGAGGUGAGUGGAAUUCCCAGUGUAGCGGUGAAAUGCGUAGAUAUUGGGAGGAACACCAGAUGCGAAGGCGGGUCACUGGGCUGAUACUGACGCUGAUAUUGCGAAAGCCAGGGGAGCGAACGGG